UCUAAAAGUUAUAGAUAAAAAUUUAUUUGAUUUACAAAUAUAAACAAACCGUCGAUCACAACAAAUCGUGUUUACAAAUGGCGUUUUCACAAUAUUUCAAACUCGAACCAAAUAAUUUAAUAAAAAGUUUGUCACGUUAAAUGUCAUGGGUAAUAAUUUGUGUUGUUGUUUUAGGAAGAGAUCAAAAAAGAAUAUCUGUGUGCUCCUUCUCGGUUUGGACAACGCUGGUAAAACGGUAGCAGUAAGAUCGUUGGCCAAUGAACCAAUUGAUGAAGUUGUACCCACUGUUGGAUUUUCAAUAGUUAAUUUAAAUUAUAAUGGUUAUAAUGUGAAGAUGUAUGAUUUGGGUGGAGGUGUUACGAUUAGAGGAAUAUGGCAUCGAUAUUUUAUAGA